rnacentral:rRNA from 1 species
CACAAGGGGUGAAGCCUGCGGUUCAAUUGGAGUCAACGCCUGAAACCUUACCCGGAGAGACAGCAGAAUGAAGGUCAAGCUGAAGACUUUACCAGACAAGCUGAGAGGUGGUGCAUGGCCGUCGCCAGCUCGUGCCGUGAGAUGUCCUGUUAAGUCAGGUAACGAGCGAGAUCCCUGCCUCUAGUUGCCACUAUUACACCCUGGUGUAGUAGGGCGAAUUAGGGGGACCGCCGCAGUUAAUGCGGAGGAAGGAAGGGGCCACGGCAGGUCAGUAUGCCCCGAAACUCUGGGGCCACACGCGGGCUGCAAUGGUAACGACAAUGAGUUCCAAAAUCGAAAGAUGGAGGUAAUCCCUAAACGUUACCACAGUUGUGAUUGAGGGCUGCAACUCGCCCUCAUGAACAUGGAAUCCCUAGUAACCGCGUGUCAUUAUCGCGCAGUGAAUACGUCCCUGCUCCUUGCACACACCGCCCGUCGUUUCAUUGAAGUUUGCCUUUAGCGAGGUGAUGUCUAAUUGGCAUUAUCGAACUUGGGGUAAGUGACAAGGGAAAAGUCGUAACAAGGUGACCGUAGGGGAACCUGCGGUCGGAUCACCUCCUU